AUUGAACGCUGGCGGAAUGCUUUACACAUGCAAGUCGAACGGCAGCACGGGGCAACCUGGUGGCGAGUGGCGAACGGGUGAGUAAUACAUCGGAACGUGCCCAAUCGUGGGGGAUAACGUAGCGAAAGUUACGCUAAUACCGCAUACGAUCUACGGAUGAAAGCGGGGGAUCGCAAGACCUCGCGCGAAUGGAGCGGCCGAUGUCAGAUUAGGUAGUUGGUGGGGUAAAGGCUCACCAAGCCAACGAUCUGUAGCUGGUCUGAGAGGACGACCAGCCACACUGGAACUGAGACACGGUCCAGACUCCUACGGGAGGCAGCAGUGGGGAAUUUUGGACAAUGGGCGCAAGCCUGAUCCAGCCAUUCCGCGUGCAGGAUGAAGGCC
rnacentral:rRNA from 1 species